GACGAACGCUGGCGGCGUGCUUAACACAUGCAAGUCGAACGGUGAACUCCGCUUGCGGGGGGAUCAGUGGCGAACGGGUGAGUAACACGUGGGCAACCUGCCCUCAGCUCUGGGAUAACUCCAAGAAAUUGGGGCUAAUACCGGAUAUGACCGCUGACCGCAUGGUCUGGUGGUGGAAAGAUUUAUCGGCUGGGGAUGGGCCCGCGGCCUAUCAGCUUGUUGGUGGGGUAGUGGCCUACCAAGGCGACGACGGGUAGCCGGCCUGAGAGGGUGACCGGCCACACUGGGACUGAGACACGGCCCAGACUCCUACGGGAGGCAGCAGUGGGGAAUAUUGCGCAAUGGGCGGAAGCCCGACGCAGCGACGCCGCGUGGGGGAUGACGGCCUUCGGGUUGUAAACCUCUUUCAGCAGGGACGAAGCGAAAGUGACGGUACCUGCAGAAGAAGCACCGGCCAACUACGUG
rnacentral:rRNA from 1 species